rnacentral:rRNA from 1 species
AGAGCGAACGCUGGCGGCAGGCCUAACACAUGCAAGUCGAACGGACCCUUCGGGGUUAGUGGCGGACGGGUGAGUAACACGUGGGAACGUGCCUUUUGGUUCGGAAUAGCUCCUGGAAACGGGUGGUAAUGCCGAAUGUGCCCUUCGGGGGAAAGAUUUAUCGCCAUUAGAGCGGCCCGCGUCUGAUUAGCUAGUUGGUGAGGUAAAGGCUCACCAAGGCUACGAUCAGUAGCUGGUCUGAGAGGAUGACCAGCCACAUUGGGACUGAGACACGGCCCAAACUCCUACGGGAGGCAGCAGUGGGGAAUCUUGCGCAAUGGGCGAAAGCCUGACGCAGCCAUGCCGCGUGAAUGAUGAAGGUCUUAGGAUUGUAAAAUUCUUUCACCGGGGACGAUAAUGACGGUACCCGGAGAAGAAGCCCCGGCUAACUCGUGCCAGCAGCCGC